rnacentral:tRNA from 1 species
GGCGCCCUAGCUCAGUUCGGUAGAGUGCUGCUCUCAUGAGGCAGAUGUCCCGAGUUCAAAUCUCGGGGGCGCCA